rnacentral:misc_RNA from 1 species
GAUGAAGAACGCAGCGAAAUGCGAUAAGUAAUGUGAAUUGCAGAAUUCAGUGAAUCAUCGAAUCUUUGAACGCACCUUGCGAUCCUUGGUAUUCCGAGGAGCAUGCCUGUUUGAGUGUCAUUAAAUUCUCAACCUUUAUCUUUUAUUGAUAAAUGGCUUGGACUUGGGGGUUUGCUGGCGAAAGUCAGCUCCUCUGAAAUGUAUUAGCUGGUUGCCUUGUGUGAACUUGUCUAUUGGUGUGAUAAUUAUCUACGCCGUGGGCUGUUUGCCGUUUUAGCACUGCUUCUAACUGUCUGUUAACUCGGACAAUAUAUGACAAUUUGACCUCAAAUCAGGUAGGACUACCCGCUGAACUUAAGCAUAUCAAUAAGCGGAGGA